CCUACGGGUGGCAGCAGUGGGGAAUAUUGGACAAUGGGCGAAAGCCUGAUCCAGCCAUGCCGCGUGUGUGAAGAAGGCCUUCGGGUUGUAAAGCACUUUCAGUGGGGAAGAAAGCCUUGGGGCUAAUACCCUCGAGGAAGGACAUCACCCACAGAAGAAGCACCGGCUAACUCCGUGCCAGCAGCCGCGGUAAUACGGAGGGUGCGAGCGUUAAUCGGAAUUACUGGGCGUAAAGCGCGCGUAGGCGGUCUGAUAAGCCGGUUGUGAAAGCCCCGGGCUCAACCUGGGAACGGCAUCCGGAACUGUCAGGCUAGAGUGCAGGAGAGGAAGGUAGAAUUCCCGGUGUAGCGGUGAAAUGCGUAGAGAUCGGGAGGAAUACCAGUGGCGAAGGCGGCCUUCUGGACUGACACUGACGCUGAGGUGCGAAAGCGUGGGUAGUAAACAGGAUUAGAUACCCUUGUAGUC
rnacentral:rRNA from 1 species